rnacentral:rRNA from 1 species
UACGUAGGGUCCGAGCGUUGUCCGGAAUUACUGGCGUAAAGAGCUCGUAGGUGGUUUGUCGCGUUGUUCGUGAAAACUCACAGCUCAACUGUGGGCGUGCGGGCGAUACGGGCAGACUUGAGUACUGCAGGGGAGACUGGAAAUUCCUGGUGUAGCGGUGGAAUGCGCAGAUAUCAGGAAGAACACCCGUGGCGAAGGCGGCUCUCUGGAACGCAACUGACGCUGAGAGCGAAAGCGUGGGGAGCAAACAGG